AAUCAUUCAAACAAAGACAAAAAAAACAACUAACAUGAAUUAUUUCAAGGCUCGUCUGAUCGCCCUCUUCCUCCUACUCUCAUUUGCCCUCGUUACCUCGGCUCGGAUCAUGCCCCACUCAGAAAACCAAGAAGCAGCAUAUAUGAUAAAUGAUUACCCUGAUCCGGGAGCUAAUCCAAGACAUGAUCCAUUCCCACCCCCACCACAGCAGUUCGAGAUUAGCGUUGUCAAGGACCACGACAUCAAGAAAAAUCCCUAAAGAGAAUUUUGCUUGUCAGAGGAGGAGAAAGCAUCACAACGAAGCUUAAAAAGAGAAAUAAUGAUGUGCAUGAACCAAUAAUAGUACUAUAUCUAAAUAUGUUAUCGAUAAUUUAUAUAAUAAUUCCCAUUAUGUGCUUUGAACAAUGUUGUAAUAUAAUUAUCAAAUUAAUGUAAUAAAUGCUGGAAAUAUAGUAUGGUAAUGAACAAUAAAUAUAUAUAAGGUUGUAUUAAAACGAAAUUAAAAUUAAAAUUUUGCGAUAAGAAUUUACU